rnacentral:rRNA from 1 species
UACGUAGGUGGCAAGCGUUGUCCGGAUUUACUGGGCGUAAAGGAUGCGUAGGCGGACAUUUAAGUCAGAUGUGAAAUACCCGAGCUUAACUUGGGUGCUGCACUUGAAACUGGGUGUCUAGAGUGCAGGAGAGGUAAGUGGAAUUCCUAGUGUAGCGGUGAAAUGCGUAGAGAUUAGGAAGAACACCAGUGGCGAAGGCGGCUCACUGGACCGGUACUGACGCUGAGGUGCGAAAGCGUGGGGAGCAAACAGG